rnacentral:rRNA from 1 species
GACGGAGGAUGCAAGCGUUAUCCGGAAUGAUUGGGCGUAAAGCGUCCGCAGGUGGCAGUUCAAGUCUGCUGUCAAAGACCGGGGCUUAACUUCGGAAAGGCAGUGGAAACUGAACAGCUAGAGUAUGGUAGGGGCAGAGGGAAUUCCUGGUGUAGCGGUGAAAUGCGUAGAGAUCAGGAAGAACAUCGGUGGCGAAGGCGCUCUGCUGGACCAUAACUGACACUCAGGGACGAAAGCAUGGGGAGCAAAAGGG